GGGGUACGACGGCGGUGAUUCGAGCUCGGAAUCUCGCGAUGCUCUAGAUUAUCCGUUGAUCCUGGCAGAGGUCACUGCUAUCGGGGUUCGAUUAAGCCAUGCGAGUCGAGAGGGUUCAGACCCUCGGCGGACUGCUCAGUAACACGUGGAUAAUCUGCCCUAUGGUGGAGGAUAGCCCCGGGAAACUGGGGAUAAUACUCCAUAAGUCAGGAGUACUGGAAUGUCUCCUAACUGAAAGUUGCGGCGCCAUAGGAUGAAUCUGCGGCCGAUUAGGUAGUUGUUGGGGUAACGGCCUAAAUCUACCUGUUAUCGGUACGGGUUGUGGGAGCAUCUUUCUCGGAGAUGGAAUCUGAGACACCACCCCCAGGCCCUACGGGGCGCAGCAGGCGCGAAAACUUUACAAUGCAGGAGACUGUGAUAAGGGAACCCCGAGUGCCCGUAAACGCGGGCUGUCCCGGUGUUUAAAACACAUCGGAAGAAAGGGCCGGGCAAGACCGGUGCCAGCCGCCGCGGUAAUACCGGCGGCUCGAGUGGUGACCACUUUUAUUGGGCUUAAAGCGUUCGUAGCUUGAAGACGACGACACGAGCGAAAUCUCACGGCUUAACUGUGAGGCGUCUAGAGAUACUGGAUCUAGGGACCGGGGAAGGUAAGUACUCAGGGUAAUGGAUCUGUAUCUUGAGACCGAUGCAGACUUACACGCUCAUGGAAGCUGGGAGCCAGAUAAACCCGUACCCGCAACUGCGCGUGGGGUCGCAUAGAUCUACU
rnacentral:rRNA from 1 species